UACGUAGGGUGCGAGCGUUGUCCGGAAUUAUUGGGCGUAAAGAGCUUGUAGGCGGUUUGUCGCGUCUGCUGUGAAAAUCCGGGGCUCAACCCCGGACUUGCAGUGGGUACGGGCAGACUAGAGUGUGGUAGGGGAGACUGGAAUUCCUGGUGUAGCGGUGAAAUGCGCAGAUAUCAGGAAGAACACCAAUGGCGAAGGCAGCUCUCUGGGACGGUACUGACGCUGAGACGCGAAAGCGUGGGGAGCGAACGGG
rnacentral:rRNA from 1 species